rnacentral:rRNA from 1 species
UGGGGAAUCUUGCGCAAUGGGCGAAAGCCUGACGCAGCGACGCCGCGUGUGGGAUGACGGCCUUCGGGUUGUAAACCACUGUCGGGAGGGACGAAGCUCUGACGGUACCUCCAAAGGAAGCACCGGCUAACUCCGUGCCAGCAGCCGCGGUAAUACGGAGGGUGCGAGCGUUGUCCGGAAUCACUGGGCGUAAAGGGCGCGUAGGCGGCCUGAUAAGUAGGAGGUGAAAUCCUGCGGCUUAACCGCAGGGCUGCCUUCUAAACUGCCAGGCUCGAGCACAGUAGAGGCAGGUGGAAUUCCCGGUGUAGCGGUGGAAUGCGUAGAGAUCGGGAAGAACAUCGGUGGCGAAGGCGGCCUGCUGGGCUGUUGCUGACGCUGAGGCGCGACAGCGUGGGGAGCAAACAGGAUUAGAUACCCCCGUAGUCC